AAAGAACUUUUCAACAGUUGAAGCAGUUCUGUGACAGAAUCAGCAGCCUCGCGUGGUGAACUCCCCUGAAGGUAGGCAGGCAGAGGCCAAACCACCGUCCCCCCCAGUUUUGGGGCUUCCAGCAGUUAGGGGCUUCCUACUGGGGAGGAGUAGGAUGGGUCCCAGUGACCCUGGAAAAGGCCGCUCCCUCCACUGGUGCACGGGCACAGCUCCUACUGCCUCCUGAGAACCAAUGGUGACUUCUCUUCCCAACUUCUUCAUCAGUGCUGUCACAUUAGUAGUUUGAAACCAAGCAUGGGGGGAUUAUUUACACCACAGAAAUCGGCAAACACCACAAAGCGGGGCCAGCACCCCUCCCCACCAGAGCCGGUUGUUAAAGCCAUGCCAGCACACCCCUGCACCCAACUCCAGGCACUGUCACCGAGGAGGUCCCCAACCUGACCUCAGCCUUGAGAAGCCCCCAGCUCCCUCUGACCACCCACCCGCCAUCUGGAAGUGGGCUCCUCCCCCUCUCCUCCACGCCUGGCCUCACCCGGCGGGCGGGAAGCAGCUCAGGACCUCAGAGGAGUCUGUUCUGACUCCUGAGCUCAAGCCCCUUGAGCAGCCACCCCCGCCGCUGGUUUCAGAUUCUCUGUUCAGUGUUCCUAAAACUUGCCCUGGCUCCCUCCUCUACAGCUCCCUGAGGCACCCACAUCUGCUUAUAAUUUUCCCGGGAAGAGAGAAAGGUCAUGGUAGCUGGCCCCUUCCCCCUGAGUAUCUCUGGAAUGCCUGCUGCGGCCCUGCCCCAGGCCCCCCACCCACACACUCUCAGCUCCCAUCAAGGCAGCCUCCUAGGGAUGCUCCCCACCAUGCGUUCUGCCCCACCAGUAAACCCUCCAGCGGUGUGCUCACCACCCUCUCAGCUACAGGGCUGGCCCACCUCUCUUCCCCAGGUUUCCUCAUCCCACCCCCUCCAGUCUUGCAGAGCUGUAAGGCCCUCCCAGGACUCUGGUUAGGGGCCCCAUCACAGCUCCCCCAGGGCAGAUCUCCCACCUCCAGUCCUCUCUGUGCUCUUCCCGGCCACCCUCAGUCCCCAAGUAACUCACCAGGCCUCUAUGGCAUCCUGGGGCCUGAGAAACUCAGGUGAGCCAGGGACAGGGUGUCACGGUCCUCAGGCCCCAGGGCCUGGGGGCAUCCACAGAGGAUCCUGGGGGUCCCGGUGCUCAGGAUAUGGAGCCUGAAAACAGGAAAUAGAGCCCAGCUAGAAUGUGUGUGGUGGGGGAGGCAGGGGGGAGCAUGAUCGUGGGCUGAGCACGUAGGGUGGCUCCAUCCUCCCACCACCCUGAACUCGGAAGGGAGGAUGGGGAGAGGUAGGGGGAGGGCCAGAAGCCACCUUCCCAGUCCACUCUGAGGAGGGAGGGGCCCAGCCUGGCCUCAGAGAGCCAGGCUGAAGUCAGGAGUGUCCCUCAGGUGACCCCCACAGUC
rnacentral:lncRNA from 1 species